UACAGAGGGUGCAAGCGUUGCUCGGAAUCACUGGGGCGUAAAGGGCGCGGUAGGCGGGGAGGUAAGUCGGGUGUGAAAUACCCUCGGCCCAACUGAGGAACUGCGCCCGAGACUGCCUUCUCUUGAGUCCCGGAGAGGAAGAUGGAAUUCCCGGUGUAGCGGUGAAAUGUGUAGAGAUCGGGAGGAACACCGGUGGCGAAGGCGGUCUCUGGACGGUGACUGACGCUGAGGCGCGAAAGCGUGGGGAGCAAACAGGA
rnacentral:rRNA from 1 species